GACCCCACAGCCACGCACAGAGUGACAGUCCGAGAUCUCACUCCUGUCCUCCGCCCCGCACCGGCCACUGCUGCCACCGCCAAGCUCGCGGGUUCGAUCCCCGGAUGGGCCAUUCACGUCUGAGUUGGACUCGGUGAUCCCUGUGGGUCCCUGCCAGCUCAGAAUAUCCUGUGAUUCUGUGCCUGCACAUGUGCGCUGACCAGGCCGGUGUCCGUGCCGCUCCCCACAUGCAGGAUGUUGUGCUAACGGCAGCGAUGUCCCCACAGCAGGGACAAAGCGAUGCCGGACUGCAGUGUGACACUAAACUCCUCUCGGGACCGGGAGCUGACACGGAUUCUCUGUCAUUCCCCUGUUGUCAGCGUCUCACUGCACAUGCAUUUGUUCAUCAUUAGUAAGAUACUGAUGCUGACUAAACCCCGACUCUCGAUCACACAGAAAUUCGCCCAGAACUGCGGGGUUCGGACUCGUAUGGAGAGUGAGAAGUGGGGACAGGGCAUUUCCUCGCAUCUAUUCCAUCUGGAGAGCAAACCCCUCUCCCAGUUCCUCCUGGCUGACAGGGAAUUGCAUCACCGGCGUGUGCAGAUAUUUUUGUUUUCCCUCUGAAAUGUGCUUGUUUUAUUGUUUUCCUCCGAUGGAAUUUGCCAGCGUGUCCCAAAUUAUGUGGUUCUGAAAUUUAAAAGCAACAUACCUGUGUGGGGGAGAGAAUGAGUGGUUUUGACUGCGCGAGCUGGCUCUUCCUUCCCUCCUCCCUUCUCCCCACAUCCCCAUGUGCUAUGGAGCCAGCUGCUCCCGGAAUAGUUUGGGAAUGAAAUGUCACCAUUUGAAACUGGGCACCAGAGAGUCCAACCAGCAAUGCUGCAGGAGCUUAAAGUUGCAGCAGCAACGUAGGAGUGAGCCAAGGAGCCAGUGGGAUUUCCCAGAGGGCCUGAGACAACACAUCCUCAGCUUUCUGGACCUUGGCUAAGCUGAUACAUUUGGAAUGUGUGGAAGACUUCCCAACAGGAACAAGCAACCCUGGAAGGCCAAGAUUACCACUCAUCUGGUUUUGGGGAAAAAAAAAAAAGAAAAAGACAACUGAGAUGAUGUUGGACAUUCAUUAGCAAAGCAUUGUCAGAACACAAUAGAAGAACAGACAAAAGCCAGUCCAGAUUCUGUGGUAUUUCCUAAAGGGCUCCCUCUGGCACAUGGCUAUUCCCUGCCAAUCCUUCUGUAUUGUCUUUGAUAAUGAAUAGAAGCUGAACAGAUGAUUGUUGUAUUGUCCACUAAGUGAUUCAUUUACAUUAAAUAGUGCUCCAAAAGUAGGCUUUGGGUGGA